rnacentral:rRNA from 1 species
AAUAGAUACCCUGGUAGUCCACGCCGUAAACGAUGGAUGCUAGCUGUUAUGCGUAUCGACCCGUGUAGUAGCGAAGCUAACGCGUUAAGCAUCCCGCCUGGGGAGUACGAACGCAAGUUUAAAACUCAAAGGAAUUGACGGGGACCCGCACAAGCGGUGGAGCGUGUUCUUUAAUUCGAGGCUAAGCGAAGAACCUUACCAGGGCUUGACAUCCUUGGAAUUUCUCCGAAAGGAGAGAGUACUUUAUUGGACCAAGUGACAGGUGCUGCAUGGCCGUCGUCAGCUCGUGUCGUGAGAUGUUUGGUUAAGUCCAUUAACGAGCGCAACCCUUAUGAAUAGUUGUAUUUUUCUAUUCAGACUGCCCCGGUAACGGGGAGGAAGGGGGGUAUGAUGUCAGGUCAGUAUUGCCCUUACGCCCUGGGCUAGAAACGCGCUACAAUGGCCGGUACAAUGCGCUGCCAACCCGCGAGGGGGAGCAAAUCGCAUCAAAGCCGGUCCCAGCUCGGAUAAGAGGCUGAAACUCGCCUCUUUGAAGCCGGAAUCGCUAGUUAACG